UACGUAGGGUGCGAGCGUUAAUCGGAAUUACUGGGCGUAAAGCGUGCGCAGGCGGUUCGUUGUGUCUGAUGUGAAAGCCCCGGGCUCAACCUGGGAAUGGCAUUGGAAACUGGCGAGCUAGAGUGUGGCAGAGGGGGGUGGAAUUCCGCGUGUAGCAGUGAAAUGCGUAGAGAUGCGGGGGAACACCGAUGGCGAAGGCAGCCCCCUGGGCUAGCACUGACGCUCAGGCACGAAAGCGUGGGGAGCAAACAGG
rnacentral:rRNA from 1 species